UACGUAGGUGGCAAGCGUUGUUCGGAAUUAUUGGGCGUAAAGGGCGCGUAGGCGGCGUGUCAAGUCAGGCGUGAAAGCCCCGGGCUCAACCUGGGAACCGCGCUUGAGACUGGCAUGCUCGAGUUCGGGAGAGGAUGGUGGAAUUCCCAGUGUAGAGGUGAAAUUCGUAGAUAUUGGGAAGAACACCGAUGGCGAAGGCAGCCAUCUGGACCGACACUGACGCUGAGGCGCGAAAGCGUGGGGAGCAAACAGG
rnacentral:rRNA from 1 species